UCGUUCUGUCUUCAUCGAUCUCGCCAUGCAAGAGCGGGACGUGGAAAGCCUAAAGCCUGAUGAGUCGAAGAGACUUUCAAUAGAAGAGUCCGACUGCGUUCCAGCCGGUUUCCAGUGUCCGGAAAUACACUGGCAAGACUUCCCGACGCCGAACUUUGAUUGCUCCUAUUCGACGUCUUCUCAAGGCCGCUGAUACCAGCG
rnacentral:sRNA from 1 species